CCUACGGGAGGCAGCAGUGAGGAAUAUUGGUCAAUGGGCGCGAGCCUGAACCAGCCAUGUAGCGUGAAGGAAGACUGCCCUACGGGUUGUAAACUUCUUUUAUAAGGGAAUAAAGGCAGGCACGUGUGCCUUUUUGUAUGUACCUUAUGAAUAAGGAUCGGCUAACUCCGUGCCAGCAGCCGCGGUAAUACGGAGGAUUCGAGCGUUAUCCGGAUUUAUUGGGUUUAAAGGGUGCGUAGGCGGGCGGAUAAGUUAGUGGUGAAAGUUUGCGGCUCAACUGUAAAAUUGCCAUUGAUACUGGUAGGCUUGAGUACAGUUGAGGUAGGCGGAAUGCGUGGUGUAGCGGUGAAAUGCUUAGAGAUCACACAGAACACCGAUUGCGAAGGCAGCCUACUAAGCUGCCUCUGACGUUGAUGCACGAAAGCGUGGGGAUCAAACAGGAUUAGAUACCCGGGUAGUC
rnacentral:rRNA from 1 species